GUUGAUAUUCAUGGUAAAUAAAAGGACUAAUGAACUAGAGGUUACGCCAUACGGCUCAUAGAAGCAGUACCAGGAGAGGGAUAGUGAACAGGUAGGCGAAACAGGCCUCACCAAGCCGCCUACAAGGUUGCUGCAGUUGAUGCUUCCAAUAAUGUUGAUCAUCUGGCAUGGUGGAAAGAUCAUGAUAACAUCGUCAAUUGGCAGACGUCUGUGAAGAUUGUGCUCAACAUCCCACCCUCAUCUGCAGCUCCAGAAUGAGUAUUCUUCUCCCCGAGUCGGCAGUCUCAUAAAUCCAGCAACGUACACUGAAAGGUCGCAUCGAAGGAGGUGAGAUUCUGAACCUAUGGAUAACUCCAGGCUCUGCAGUUGUCACUUCAAGGAUGGCGUGACGGCGAACUCGCCAUCUAUUUUCCACAGAACAUUAAUUUUAAGAAGUUCAUGGAUUUUCCUGACCCAGAGAUCAAGUCAAGGUCAGUGUGUCCUCUGUCAUACAAAUCUUCAUUCUCACCAUUUCGUUUAUCUUGACAGUAGAACUCUGCUUCUCCCGCCUGCUAGGUUAUAUUAUAUCCCUUGUUUUGUUUAUUUGUUCAACAGAGUGCUUCACCUUCUCAUUAAUACAAGUUGCAUACUUCUUUGUGUGAGCAGACAUAAUAUAGCUUUUCUAGAUUUUCAAUGCAUAUGCACACAUAAUAGUAAUGUGGUGCCAAGAUGGAAACAGUCACGUGACAGAGUGAAACUGGUCUGCGUAUAAUGGGUAAUAUCGUCUUGGUUGCCAUGGACACGGAUAAAUAAGGCUUCUUCUAGGUCUAAGUGGUAGAACACCUCCUGUACUGGACCUGACAUGUUUGUCAUAAAGGGAUCCUUACAAAUACUGUCGGCGAAAAGGAUUGAUCGAGAGUAAUAUCGUCUCUGACUUGUGAGUACAUGAUGGAGUUGUCUUGUGCAGUUUGCAAUUUUCUAAAAGCACGUGAGACGCUCGAUAUGAUUUUGUUGGUGUUCACUUGGCUUCUACCUCACGCCUAUGUCUAUCUCUACUCCAGUAUUGACGUUUGUUUUGAGGCAUAAUCUAUUUGUUGUGUCUCCCUUACUCCUCGUGA